rnacentral:sRNA from 1 species
GCCAGGCAUGAUGGUGCACGCCUGUAAUCCCAGUGAUUUGGGAGGCCGAGGCAGGAGGAUCACAAGUUGGGGACCUACCUCAGCAACUUAGUGAGACCCUAAGCAACUUGGUGAGACCCUGUAUCAA